CCCCUAAAAAACUACGUCCCACGUUCGGAUUGCAGGCUGCAACUCGCCUGCAUGAAGUCGGAAUUGCUAGUAAUCGCGGAUCAGCAUGCCGCGGUGAAUACGUUCCCGGGCCUUGUACACACCGCCCGUCACACCAUGAGAGUCGGAAACACCCGAAGCCUGUAGUCCAACCGCAAGGGGGGCGCAGUCGAAGGUGGGUCUGAUAAUCGGGGUGAAGUCGUAACAAGGUAAC
rnacentral:rRNA from 1 species